rnacentral:rRNA from 1 species
CCUACGGGAGGCAGCAGUGGGGAAUUUUGGACAAUGGGCGCAAGCCUGAUCCAGCAAUGCCGCGUGCAGGAUGAAGGCCUUCGGGUUGUAAACUGCUUUUGUACGGAACGAAACGGCCCUUUCUAAUACAAGGGGCUAAUGACGGUACCGUAAGAAUAAGCACCGGCUAACUACGUGCCAGCAGCCGCGGUAAUACGUAAGGUGCGAGCGUUAAUCGGAAUUACUGGGCGUAAAGCGAGCGCAGGCGGUUAUAUAAGACAGAUGUGAAAUCCCCGGGCUCAACCUGGGACCUGCAUUUGUGACUGUAUAGCUAGAGUACGGUAGAGGGGGAUGGAAUUCCGCGUGUAGCAGUGAAAUGCGUAGAUAUGCGGAGGAACACCGAUGGCGAAGGCAAUCCCCUGGACCUGUACUGACGCUCAUGCACGAAAGCGUGGGGAGCAAACAGGAUUAGAUACCCUGGUAGUCCACGCCCUAAACGAUGUCAACUGGUUGUUGGGUCUUCACUGACUCAGUAACGAAGCUAACGCGUGAAGUUGACCGCCUGGGGAGUACGGCCGCAAGGUUGAAACGUCAAAGNGAGUGCGUGNGAGUAGCGACGAGACACGAGGAGGAGG